rnacentral:ncRNA from 1 species
AGUUUAAUAAAAAUAAAUAAUAUGAUACAUUAAUAUUAAAAUAUAAAAAUAAAAUUAUUUUAAUAAAAUUAUAAAAUAUAAGGCAUAUCAUAAAUAAUUAAUUAUAUUAUAAACUAAUUAAUAAAGUGCCAGCAGUUGCGGUUAUACUUAUUAUAUAAUCAUAUUAUUAUAUAUUAUAAUAAAUAUAUUAAUUAAAAUAUAAAUAUAAAGUAAAAUUUUUCUUUCAAAAAUUUAAAAAUUAUUAAAUAAUUAAACUUUUAAAUAUAAAAUAGGAUUAGAAACCCUAGUAUAUAAAAUAUUUAAGGUAGUAAAAUUAAUUAAAACCUAUUUAUACAGACGGCUUUUUAUUUUAUUAGAGGAACCUGUUCAAUAAUAGAUACUACACAAUUAUUUUCACUUUAAUUAAAAAUUUACAUAUCGCCAUCUUAAAACUUUACAACAAAAUAUACUUAAAAUAAAUAAUAAUAAGUUAGGUCAAGGUGUAAUCUAUAUUAAUAGAUGAAAUGGGUUACAUUUAAUACAUUAAAGAAUUUUAUAAAUUUAUUUAUAAAUGAAAAAGGAUUUAAAUGCAAUAUGUAUAAAAUCAUAUACAUAUGAAUUAAAUAAUAAAAGUGUACAUAUCGCCCGUCACCCUUAUCAAUUUUAAAGUUAAGGUAAGUCGUAACAUAGUUGUUAUUUUGGAAAAAGUAUCAAG